ACGGAAGGCAGCAGUGAGGAAUAUUGGUCAAUGGAGGCAACUCUGAACCAGCCAUCUCGCGUGAAGGAAUACGGCCCUAUGGGUCUUAAACUUCUUUUAUAGGGGGAUAAAGUGAGCCACGUGUGGCUUUUUGUAGGUACCCUAUGAAUAAGCAUCGGCUAACUCCGUGCCAGCAGCCGCGGUAAUACGGAGGAUGCGAGCGUUAUCCGGAUUUAUUGGGUUUAAAGGGUGCGCAGGCGGCACGUUAAGUCAGCGGUGAAAUGUCGGGGCUCAACCCGGGCACUGCCGUUGAAACUGGCGAGCUUGAGUACGGAUGAAGUCGGCGGAAUGUGAUGUGUAGCGGUGAAAUGCUUAGAUAUGUCACAGAACACCGAUUGCGAAGGCAGCCGACUAAUCCGCAACUGACGCUCAGGCACGAAAGUGCGGGGAUCGAACAGGAUUAGAUACCCUGGUA
rnacentral:rRNA from 1 species